rnacentral:tRNA from 1 species
GCCUUCUUAGCUCAGUGGUAGAGCGUUGGUCUCGUAUGCAAUUAAAGUCAACCAAAGGCCGAGAGUUCAAUUCUCUCAGUAGGCA